rnacentral:rRNA from 1 species
CGGACGGGUUAGUAACGCGUGGGAACGUGCCCAGAUCUAAGGAAUAGCCACUGGAAACGGUGAGUAAUACCUUAUACGCCCUUCGGGGGAAAGAUUUAUCGGAUUUGGAUCGGCCCGCGUUAGAUUAGGUAGUUGGUGGGGUAAUGGCCUACCAAGCCUACGAUCUAUAGCUGGUUUUAGAGGAUGAUCAGCAACACUGGGACUGAGACACGGCCCAGACUCCUACGGGAGGCAGCAGUGGGGAAUCUUGGACAAUGGGGGCAACCCUGAUCCAGCCAUGCCGCGUGAGUGAUGAAGGCCUUAGGGUCGUAAAGCUCUUUCGCCUGUGAUGAUAAUGACAGUAGCAGGUAAAGAAACCCCGGCUAACUCCGUGCCAGCAGCCGCGGUAAUACGGAGGGGGUUAGCGUUGUUCGGAAUUACUGGGCGUAAAGCGCGCGUAGGCGGAUUAGUCAGUUAGAGGUGAAAUCCCAGGGCUCAACCCUGGAACUGCCUUUAAUACUGCUAGUCUUGAGUUCGAGAGAGGUGAGUGGAAUUCCGAGUGUAGAGGUGAAAUUCGUAGAUAUUCGGAGGAACACCAGUGGCGAAGGCGGCUCACUGGCUCGAUACUGACGCUGAGGUGCG